UGUUCUUAUUUCAAAGGUUGCGUGCUUCC
rnacentral:piRNA from 1 species